rnacentral:antisense_RNA from 1 species
UGUUUACCUCUUCUUUUGCAGAUGGCUUGAUAUAGAUGAAGAUGCAGCGGCCAUAAGUGAUGGAAACCACAGUAAUAUGUGAAGAACAGUUGUUCAUGUAUUCUAGAGGAAAAGAAAGGAAUAUCAUUAUAUACUGCUAAUG